rnacentral:rRNA from 1 species
CCUACGGGUGGCAGCAGUGAGGAAUAUUGGUCAAUGGACGAGAGUCUGAACCAGCCAAGUAGCGUGAAGGAUGACUGCCCUAUGGGUUGUAAACUUCUUUUAUAAAGGAAUAAAACGAGGCACGUGUGCCUUUUUGCAUGUACUUUAUGAAUAAGGAUCGGCUAACUCCGUGCCAGCAGCCGCGGUAAUACGGAGGAUCUGAGCGUUAUCCGGAUUUAUUGGGUUUAAAGGGAGCGUAGAUGGGUUGUUAAGUUAGUUGUGAAAGUUUGCGGCUCAACCGUAAAAUUGCAAUUGAUACUGGCAGUCGUGAGUACAGUUGAGGUAGGCGGAAUUCGUGGUGUAGCGGUGAAAUGCUUAGAGAUCACGAAGAACCCCGAUUGCGAAGGCAGCUUACUAAACUGUGACUGACAUUGAUGCUCGAAAGUGUGGGUAUCAAACAGGAUUAGAUACCCGAGUAGUC